rnacentral:rRNA from 1 species
UUGAAGAGUUUGAUCAUGGCUCAGAUUGAACGCUGGCGGCAGGCCUAACACAUGCAAGUCGAGCGGUAGCACAGAGAGCUUGCUCUCGGGUGACGAGCGGCGGACGGGUGAGUAAUGUCUGGGAAACUGCCUGAUGGAGGGGGAUAACUACUGGAAACGGUAGCUAAUACCGCAUAAUGUCGCAAGACCAAAGUGGGGGACCUUCGGGCCUCAUGCCAUCAGAUGUGCCCAGAUGGGAUUAGCUUGUAGGUGGGGUAACGGCUCACCUAGGCGACGAUCCCUAGCUGGUCUGAGAGGAUGACCAGCCACACUGGAACUGAGACACGGUCCAGACUCCUACGGGAGGCAGCAGUGGGGAAUAUUGCACAAUGGGCGCAAGCCUGAUGCAGCCAUGCCGCGUGUGUGAAGAAGGCCUUCGGGUUGUAAAGCACUUUCAGCGGGGAGGAAGGCGGUGAGGUUAAUAACCUCAUCGAUUGACGUUACCCGCAGAAGAAGCACCGGCUAACUCCGUGCCAGCAGCCGCGGUAAUACGGAGGGUGCAAGCGUUAAUCGGAAUUACUGGGCGUAAAGCGCACGCAGGCGGUCUGUCAAGUCGGAUGUGAAAUCCCCGGGGCUCAACCUGGGAACUGCAUUCGAAACUGGCAGGCUAGAGUCUUGUAGAGGGGGGUAGAAUUCCAGGUGUAGCGGUGAAAUGCGUAGAGAUCUGGAGGAAUACCGGUGGCGAAGGCGGCCCCCUGGACAAAGACUGACGCUCAGGUGCGAAAGCGUGGGGAGCAAACAGGAUUAGAUACCCUGGUAGUCCACGCCGUAAACGAUGUCGAUUUGGAGGUUGUGCCCUUGAGGCGUGGCUUCCGGAGCUAACGCGUUAAAUCGACCGCCUGGGGAGUACGGCCGCAAGGUUAAAACUCAAAUGAAUUGACGGGGGCCCGCACAAGCGGUGGAGCAUGUGGUUUAAUUCGAUGCAACGCGAAGAACCUUACCUGGUCUUGACAUCCACAGAACUUAGCAGAGAUGCUUUGGUGCCUUCGGGAACUGUGAGACAGGUGCUGCAUGGCUGUCGUCAGCUCGUGUUGUGAAAUGUUGGGUUAAGUCCCGCAACGAGCGCAACCCUUAUCCUUUGUUGCCAGCGGUCCGGCCGGGAACUCAAAGGAGACUGCCAGUGAUAAACUGGAGGAAGGUGGGGAUGACGUCAAGUCAUCAUGGCCCUUACGACCAGGGCUACACACGUGCUACAAUGGCAUAUACAAAGAGAAGCGACCUCGCGAGAGCAAGCGGACCUCAUAAAGUAUGUCGUAGUCCGGAUUGGAGUCUGCAACUCGACUCCAUGAAGUCGGAAUCGCUAGUAAUCGUAGAUCAGAAUGCUACGGUGAAUACGUUCCCGGGCCUUGUACACACCGCCCGUCACACCAUGGGAGUGGGUUGCAAAAGAAGUAGGUAGCUUAACCUUCGGGAGGGCGCUUACCACUUUGUGAUUCAUGACUGGGGUGAAGUCGUAACAAGGUAACCGUAGGGGAACCUGCGGUUGGAUCACCUCCUU